UACGUAGGGGGCAAGCGUUGUCCGGAAUCAUUGGGCGUAAAGCGCGUGUAGGCGGUUCGAUCAGUCUGCUGUGAAAGUCGGGGGCUCAACCCUCGAAUGCCGGUGGAUACUGUCGGGCUAGAGUGCGGAAGAGGCGAGUGGAAUUCCUGGUGUAGCGGUGAAAUGCGCAGAUAUCAGGAGGAACACCGGUGGCGAAGGCGGGUCUCUGGGCCGAUACUGACGCUGAGGAGCGAAAGCGUGGGGAGCGAACAGG
rnacentral:rRNA from 1 species